rnacentral:rRNA from 1 species
UACGUAGGGGGCGAGCGUUGUCCGGAGUUACUGGGCGUAAAGCGCACGCAGGCGGUCUGCUAAGUUUGGAGUGACAGUUGGUGGCUUAACUGCCAAAGUGCUUCGAAAACUGACAGACUUGAGGGCUUCAGAGGGACACGGAAUUCCGGGUGGAGUGGUGGAAAUGCGUAGAGAUCCGGAGGAACACCAAAGGCGAAGGCAGGUGUCCUGGGGAGUACCUGACGCUCAGGUGCGAAAGCCAGGGGAGCGAACGGG